AUUGAACGCUGGCGGCAUGCUUUACACAUGCAAGUCGAACGGUAACAGCACUUCGGUGGCUGACGAGUGGCGAACGGGUGAGUAAUACAUCGGAACGUGCCUAGUAGUGGGGGAUAACUACUCGAAAGAGUAGCUAAUACCGCAUGAGAUCUAAGGAUGAAAGCAGGGGACCUUCGGGCCUUGCGCUACUAGAGCGGCUGAUGGCAGAUUAGGUAGUUGGUGGGAUAAAAGCUUACCAAGCCGACGAUCUGUAGCUGGUCUGAGAGGACGACCAGCCACACUGGAACUGAGACACGGCCCAGACUCCUACGGGAGGCAGCAGUGGGGAAUUUUGGACAAUGGGCGCAAGCCUGAUCCAGCAAUGCCGCGUGCAGGAUGAAGGCCUUCGGGUUGUAAACUGCUUUUGUACGGAACGAAAAGCCCUCUUCUAAUACAGGAGGGUCAUGACGGUACCGAAAGAAUAAGCACCGGCUAACUACGUG
rnacentral:rRNA from 1 species